AACGGCAUGAAAUAAAUAGGACGAGCGCAUGCCUGAGGACCAGGGAAAGCCUCUCUGAGCAGAUAACGCUCAUGGUGGGGCUCAUCACGUUGGCCUUCAUCACUCUUUGGGUAAUAAUAAUUCCCGGAGAGAAUCAUGGACACUGGCCCUGCUUCCUUCACACCCAGUCCCAUUGGAGAGACCGACAGUGAACAA